rnacentral:lncRNA from 1 species
AUUUAGUGAACAAACAAAAUACAUUUAACUUAUGAAAUGUCCCUUUUUUCUCACGAUACCUUCCCAUUUCCAGAAACAAAAAGAAGCAAUUAGUUAACAAUAUUCUGAUAAAUAAUGCUAAACCAAGCAUUUCAAACUGUUGUUAUUCCCAUUGUUUUGAACUUUAGUUAAUAGACCAGUGAUUUUUAAUAUUGCAAACGAGAAGUCCAGCUGUAUAAACUUCUGGUCAUUAGAAAGCCAGAGAAACUAACUUCUACCGUAUAUGCCAAGGGCAAGAAAAUUCUGCUGUGCCUCUCAUUGUGUAUAUGGACUUUGAAAGGCAGCCUUGUACCCAUGUAGACACGUGAAGGCAGACUCCUGUCUCCUGAUUGCCAUUUGCUAAAGAACAAAUGACAUUAUACAGAUGUAAAUUAGGCGUGAUUUUAAAAUAACAUUUAUCAGUCGAGACCUUGAUUUUACCAAUAUUACAACUGGGGCCAGCUUUUAUACUUCUGGGUAGAAUGAAUACGAUUUUUUCUAAUCCCAGAGAUGCCUUUGCAAGAGUAGUUCUCUCCAUACUUACAAGCAUGAAGCUGUUGUGGGCACCAUGCUGGGUCAGGAACACUUGCAUUUGUAUGGACAAAUGGCUUUUAACACCAUGGGCGGCUUCAUUCUUUUCAUUACAAAGCAAGUUUCUAUAAAAUAGUAAAAACUUCAGACACUGUUCAAGUCCCACUGCUUUUGUAGAGGUACAAAAAUGUAGGAUGUGGUCACUUUUGCAGACUCCUGCCUCACCUCCUUCCAGCCAGGUGAUAUUUUGGGCAGAAGAAAAUGUUUCUCUUUCAGUUAUGAGCUGAAAACACUCUAAGCCCCAACUUCUUGGGGUAGUUUUAUGCUUCCCUUGGAAAUUACUGUCUAAUGACCAGCUUUGCAAGUAAGUGAUUAUCUUGUUAGGAGUCACAGAAAAAUUAAUUUCUCUAGACCUUAGAGAAAAAUACCACCCUUCCUCCUUUCCCCAUUGGCACAACCACCUCUGUUCUCUUCACUUUACAACCUUCUUCAAAGUGGCCCUGUUGAGGCUGUCCCUCUCUGAAGCCAUAGUGGAUCUCUGAGGUCCCACACAUUGCUUUGUGAAACACUGACUUAGCCUCUGCCCUCAAAUGCCUGACUUUUCUAUAAACGAUUCUAGCAAAGUGGACGCUGUUUAAAAUACUUCUCAAAUAAAUUACUGCACAGAGUAUACUUUCUGAUAUUAAAAUUACUUUUCUCCAUAAAGAUCAAUUCUCUUACUAUAUCCUUCUCUGCAGGAAUCUGAGUCGAGUCAGCCCUGUGACAAAUCUUGAAACUCACAUAUGUGCACAUACCCUUGGCAGGUCUUAGAUUUAAUCUUUUCAUAAAAAACUUACGUGUAAUGAGAAGUUAGCUUUGCCAGCAAAUUAACUUAUUUACUUUACGUAUUUAUUUUAUUCCUGAUCGCAAAUAUUUUACAGCUGCUGUAAUUUUUUUCACAACAAAGAGUCUUAUCAUAAAAGUAAAGGUUAUUCAGCUUUGAGAACCACCUGUAAUCCUCUAUUGGAUCAUUCAUCUAUCUGAUAAAUAUAUAAUGAGGGCAGUUUCACUGCAAUGAAAAUCCAUGUUGUCUGAUAAGUUGCCACUUUUUUCUCUACUUUUGAUCUUUAAGGACUUUUUUAUUUCAAUGCUCUAACAAAUCUCACCCAUAUCAUGAGAAGUGGUUAUAUUUGUACACAUAUACAAAUAUAAGAAAACAAAGUUUCAUACCUGUAGGCAACAGUCUGACUUGUCCAAACCACUUUGCCUUUACUGCUAUUUUUAUUCCUAAUAUGUAGAUGUUUUCCCCUUAGCCUGCGGCUCUUGUGAAGGAAAUCAAAUCAUACCUCCUAUAUAUUGACAUAACCUGGUUCUCGAGUAUCAUUUCCAGAUUCUUCCGUUAAUGGGGGUUGUACCUUUUCCCUAAUGUGAGAGUCAUUUUCCUGUAUAUUUCUGGAUCUCUCAGGGGCUGGGAGGGGGGAGUGAGGGGACUACACCAUAGCACUCCAAGAACCCUUUUGGGAUUACUCCAGUAAUCAAGUAUGGAAGUUAUUUUCUAAAUGUAGAUAUGUAAGCUGUUCUUUUAAAGUAAGGUACUUUGAAAAAUGUAGCAUAAACUGGUACUGCUGUUAAAUGGGUCGAUCAUAAAACUGAGCAGCUGUGUGAGGGCAGCUAACUUUGAAUGCACACCUCACUGGCCGGUGUGUCUACAUCUCCUGUUGUGAGCACCAGGGACUCUCGCAUUGCUGCAUGUCGAAACUGCAUCUUUACAUGGUAUGACUAGCUGUUCAUCUCCUUAGGCACCAUUACAGCAAGAUCAAACAAAAAUGAGAUCGGUCUGCAAGACAAUUCACAGCACAAAAAAAAACUUAAGUCAUGUUAAAUCUUCACUCAAACACUCAUCUCAUACAAGCAUCCAAGUAGUUGACUAAGCUCAGUUCAGGUGAUAAAGGGAGACAUUUUACCGAAAAGGCAGAGGCUUAAGGUAUUAUAUAUACAUUCGUAUUCAUUUCCUUACGUUCUUAACUUGCAAACAGAAAACAAGCCCUCUUUCUUGUGAAGUAUCUUCAAAGGACAGGGGUGCAAAAAUACCUAGCUGGUAAGCCAUCAAUGUUUCAUUUAAAUCCCGGUGUUCAAAGUUAGCUGCCUUUUUGAAAUAAACAAAAAAAUACUACUGUAUGUUUGAAAAUGUGAAUAGUAUUUUUAUAGCUUGUUAAAGACAUGGCUAGUUGCAUUUGUAAAUAAGGGUAAUGUUGCUUUGAUUUUCUUUUGUGGACAUCUUUAUUUGGGACAUAAUGUCUUUAGGAUUGAUUUGUAUAUAAGUAAUUGGCUUGUGAUUGUUUCCUUUUGGUUGGAAGUUAUCAUUUGACAUUACUUGUGAUUCUGUGUUCAGCACUAUUGUGACGUGUUCAACCUCUGCACUCGCUUACACAAUAGGAUAUGCCAAUUGUGUGUGGUGUAAUGUUAUUUUGAUUUUUUUUCUAUUUUAUCUAUGAAGGAUUAUGCACUUAACACAUACUAACUUUUUUAAUGUUAGGUAUAUUUUUAGUAUAAUUUCCCUUAUUCUUUCUUCUCCGCCAACCCUUCACCCCAUUCUACUUUCCUUCCCCCAGUUUCUGUUGUUAUUUGAGAAUGAGGGACAAACAGUAUUUUAAAUUUCUGUAAUUAGGCUUUCAGUUAGUUCUCAAGGAUCCUCUCUUGGCUCUUGGGAAAGAAUUGUACCUGUACAAGGCAAUUAUAGAAUGCGACCUGCUUUGCCUCAUUCCGUACUGAUCAUCCCAGCUGAACAAUUUGAAAACUGUUCUGCCUUUUUGUUACAUGAAUCUGUCAGAAAUAUAUUUUUAAUUUAAUAUAAAUGAAAUUCAAUAAAAUA